GCUGGGUGUGGUGGCGGAUGCCUGUAAUCCCAGCUACUUGGGAGGCUGAGGCAGGAGAAUUGCUUGAACCUGGGAGGCAGAGGUUGCAGUGAGACAAGAUUGUGCCACUGCAUUUUAGCCUGGGUGACAGAGCAAGACUCUGUCUCAG
rnacentral:SRP_RNA from 1 species